rnacentral:rRNA from 1 species
UAACCUGCCCAAGAGAUCGGGAUAACACCUGGAAACAGAUGCUAAUACCGGAUAACAACAGAUGAUGCCUAUCAACUGUUUAAAAGAUGGUUCUGCUAUCACUCUUGGAUGGACCUGCGGUGCAUUAGCUAGUUGGUAGGGUAACGGCCUACCAAGGCGAUGAUGCAUAGCCGAGUUGAGAGACUGAUAGGCCACAUUGGGACUGAGACACGGCCCAAACUCCUACGGGAGGCAGCAGCA